GUGUCAGCCGCCGCGGUAAUACAGAGGGCGCGAGCGUUGUCCGGAAUCACUGGGCGUAAAGGGCGCGUAGGUGGCGGCAUAAGGCCGCGGUGAAAGUUCGGGGCUCAACCCUGAAUCGGCCGCGGCGACUGUGUCGCUUGGGCACUGUAGAGGCAGAUGGAAUUCCGGGUGUAGCGGUGGAAUGCGUAGAGAUCCGGAAGAACACCGGUGGCGAAGGCGGUCUGCUGGGCAGUGGAGUCGCAAGACUCUUUUAGCCGACACUGAGGCGCGACAGCGUGGGGAGCAAACAGGAUUAGAAACCCGCGUAGUCC
rnacentral:rRNA from 1 species